AGAGGCGCAGGCAGAGCCACCAGCCAGUCGGACUCUUUCAGGGCCGCUCCGGUCAGGCAGGCGGACGGACGGUCCGUCUGGGGUCCUCAUCAACACCAAGCUGGCCAAAGCGGUUCGGCGAAGGAAUUGCAAAGGGGUGCUGGAGCCAAUCCCAUGCUCAUGGGCGAUUGCAGGGUCCACCGGGACAGUUCACCAGUCCAUCACAGGGCCAACAUAGAGACUGACAGCUGGGGAGAACAUGCAAACCUCACACAGUCUCCAGAGAGCACUGGCUAUUGAACCCAGGACCUUCUUGCUGUGAGGAGAGUUAACGUCACACUGCUGAGGAAAAGAAACCACAGAGCACCAUGGGAUGAGGAACACUUGAGUUUCCCGAUGUGAUGGUGAGCAUGGAGCAGCACGUAUUGACUUCUGAUCACUGAAAUCAAUCACUGCUGAUUCAUUUGACACAAACGAACAGAUACAUUAUCUCAUAAACACAACAUUCACUUUUCACCUUGGUUUACAUCGUAAUGUGUUCCAAGAUAUUUUCAAAAUAAAACACAAAAGCAAACAUACAUUUGGCUGGAGUACACAUUCACAUCAAAUCUGUUUAGGAAAAGGAUUCAGGAGUCACAGUGAAUAAAGAUAAGUAGACUGAAG